GCAGCAGCCGCGGGAAUACAGAGGGUGCGAGCGUUAAUCGGAUUUACUGGGCGUAAAGCGUGCGUAGGCGGCUAAUUGAGUCGGAUGUGAAAUCCCCGAGCUUAACUUGGGAAUUGCAUUCGAUACUGGUUAGCUAGAGUGUGGGAGAGGAUGGUAGAAUUCCAGGUGUAGCGGUGAAAUGCGUAGAGAUCUGGAGGAAUACCGAUGGCGAAGGCAGCCAUCUGGCCUAACACUGACGCUGAGGUACGAAAGCAUGGGGAGCAAACAGGAUUAGAUACCCCAGUAGUCCCUGUCUCUUAUAC
rnacentral:rRNA from 1 species